rnacentral:rRNA from 1 species
GACGAACGCUGGCGGCGUGCUUAACACAUGCAAGUCGAACGGAAAGGCCCUGCUUUUGUGGGGUGCUCGAGUGGCGAACGGGUGAGUAACACGUGAGUAACCUGCCCUUUACUUUGGGAUAACUUCAGGAAACUGGGGCUAAUACCGGAUAGGAGCUCCUGCUGCAUGGUGGGGGUUGGAAAGUUUCGGCGGUUGGGGAUGGACUCGCGGCUUAUCAGCUUGUUGGUUGGGUAGUGGCUUACCAAGGCUUUGACGGGUAGCCGACCUGAGAGGGUGACCGGCCACAAUGGGACGGAGAAACGGACCAGACUCCAACGGGAGGCAGCAGUGGGGAAUAUUGCACAAUGGGCGGAAGCCUGAUGCAGCAACGCAGCGUGCGGGAUGACGGCCUUCGGGUUGUAAACCGCUUUCGCCUGUGACGAAGAGUGAGUGACGGUAAUGGGUAAAGAAGCACCGGCUAACUACGUG